CUUUUCGGUAGGACCGCCUUACAGGCGCGUGUAGGAAAGACCGGGUGUGAAACCACGCGCGCGUGGCCUCACGCGCGAUAUAAGUUGAAAAUUUUUCUCUCUCCUCUCAUUUUCUGCAAACGCUCUCCUCUCAUCCUUCUCUCUACCACACAAAAUCCUAACCUUCUGCAACACCAAACCUAACCCCUCAGCCCCGCUCUCUCUCUCCUCCAACACUCUCGCCGUCCCCUCCAAAACCAUAGCCACCUUCAUUCUCUCUUCUCCGGCCUUCUCCUUCUCCGAUCUGUCCUCUCGCCGCCGUUGCAAGAUGCACCACCAUGGAUUCCGACUGUCCCAGCCUCUGUUCUCCGCCGACCAUGGAUUUCGUUUGAGAUGUUUGAUUUCAUGAGAAUUGAAGAGGGGGCGGUGACGGUGGUGGGGAUGUGGCUGGUGCUGCUAGGAAGACGUUGGGUUUCGUGAAAUGAUAGGGAGUUGUUGGAGGUGCGCGGUUUCAGUGAAAUGACCGUUGUGGUGGAAGCUUGCCUCAAGGAACAAUCCGCCGGGAAACAGCGAGAAAGGAAGGAGAAGCGGAGCUUUUCGGAUCAACACCAUCUCACCGACGGGAACAUCAUGUUCCAGAUUUUUUUUUUUUUUUAAUCUUGGUUGGUUUUAGAAGGAGGAAUUGACUACUUGUUGGUGUUUUAAUUCUAUUGAGUUAUUCAUGGUUUUAGUAAAAGAUUGUAUGGAAUUAGUUAUAAUUUUCUUAUAUUUAGUUAUGAAAUGAUUUUUAGUUA